rnacentral:tRNA from 1 species
GCGGAUGUGGUGAAAUUGGCAGACACGCUGGAUUUAGGUUCCAGUACGAAAGUGUGCAGGUUCAAGUCCUGUCAUCCGCACCA